GUGCCAGCAGCCGCGGUAAUACCGGCGCCUCAAGUGGUAGUCGCUUUUAUUGGGCCUAAAACGUCCGUACCCGGUCUGAUACUUUCGGGGGUAAAUCAACCAGCUUAACUGGUUGAAUUCUGCGAGGACGGUCAGACUUGGGACCGGGAGAGGUGUGGGGUACGCUCAGGGUAGGGGUAAAAUCCUGUCAUCCUGAGCGGACCACCUGUUGCGAAGGCGCCCCCCUAUAACGGAUCCGACGGUCAGGGACCAACCCUAUGGGCACCAACCGGAUUAGAUACCCGGGUAGUCCUAGGUGUAAACGCUGUGGACUUGAUGUUGGGGGUGCUCCGAGCACUUUCAGUGUCUAACCAAAGGUGAUCAGUCCCCGGCCUGGGAAGUACGGUCGCAAGGCUGAAACUUAAGGGAAUUGGCGGGGGACCACCGCAACCAGAGGAUUGUGCGGUUUAUUUGGAUUCAGCCCGGCACCUCGCAUAGCCCACGGACUAAUGAAGGUCAUUGUAAUGAACUUACCGGCUUGUGCGGCAUGUAUUGCAUGGCCACCGUCGGCUCCAACCGCACGGCGUUCUGUUUAGUCAGAUAUCGAACGAUACCCUCAUCUCUAUUUGCUAAUUGGAUCUCCGGAUUCAGUGCGCUAUACGCAGACCGCUGGCGCUAAGUCAGAGGAAGGGGAGGGCAACGGUAGGUCAGUAUGCUCCGCAUUCUAUGGGCUACACGCGCAAUCCAAACGACAGGACAAUGGGCUGCUGCUCCGAAAGGAAUGAUAGCUAUCCCGAAACCUGUUCGUAGUUCGGAUUGAGGGCUGUAACUCGCCCUCAUGAAGCUGGAUUAGGUAGUAAUCGCGUCUCAAAAAGGCGCGGUGAAUAUGCCCCUGCUCCUUGCACACACCGCCCGUC
rnacentral:rRNA from 1 species